UGGAGCUGGGACUGAAACUGAGGUGCUGUGUGUGGAAUAUAGGCAUCACAAGUAUCAUCUUAACUGCAGUGUCAAAUGCUCAUGUAUUUUUGAGAAAUAACAUCAAUGAUUUGCUAACAUCUCUGAGCAUCUAGUUUGAAGCAUUAAGAAGGAAAAUACAAAAUUUUGAAGAAACACAUCAGGAAAACAUGAAUUCCACUAAUGUUGAAGCAAGAGGAAGCAUCAAAUUUAUUGGCCAGCUCUCCGCUGUGGCCCGGGAAGGCAGUGGAGGAUGGCCCAAGUGCUUGGGCC